UACGUAGGGUCCGAGCGUUGUCCGGAAUUACUGGGCGUAAAGAGCUCGUAGGUGGUUUGUCGCGUUGUCCGUGAAAACUCACAGCUUAACUGUGGGCGUGCGGGCGAUACGGGCAGACUGGAGUACUGCAGGGGAGACUGGAAUUCCUGGUGUAGCGGUGGAAUGCGCAGAUAUCAGGAGGAACACCGGUGGCGAAGGCGACUACCUGGCCUGUUCUUGACGCUGAGGCGCGAAAGCUAGGGGAGCAAACGGG
rnacentral:rRNA from 1 species